rnacentral:rRNA from 1 species
GUGCCAGCCGCCGCGGUAAUACGUAGGGGGCGAGCGUUUCCCGGAUUUAUUGGGCGUAAAGGGCGCGUAGGCGUCCACGCACGUCCGUUGUGAAAUCGCCCGGCUCAACUGGUCUAGGUCAGCGGAUACGGUGUGGCUCGAGCAAGCUAGGGGGCAAUGGAAUUCCCGGUGUAGUGGUGGAAUGCGUAGAUAUCGGGAGGAACACCAGUGGCGAAGGCGGUUGCCUGGAGCUUUGCUGACGCUGAUGCGCGAAAGCGUGGGGAGCGAUCCGGAUUAGAUACCCUGGUAGUCCACGCCGUAAACUAUGGGUGCUAGCCGUCGGUCGGCAUGCCGGUCGGUGGCGCAGCAAACGCAUUAAGCACCCCGCCUGGGGAGUACGGUCGCAAGAUUAAAACUCAAAGGAAUUGACGG